GGGAAAUUCUCGUUGUCCGCGAGAUAAUGAGAGAAGACAGAGGUGAGAACAGCUCAAUAGGAGAGAUAACCACUCUUUGAUCCAAACGGUCAUGCAGAACCUAUACUCGCUGCAUCGUCAGAAAGUGGACUGUCGAGCUCAGAGUGCUUUAAAUCUCCCCUCAUGCACUUUGGGGACAGAUAUCCACUGAGAUAGAUAUAUUCGUUUCAUGACUUGUGCCGCAAGACUUCACCAAUUUGAGCUGGAGUUCAUCUUUUUUCAAUAUUAUGGUUUGCAAAUGAAAGCAAACUGUCUGCUCUCGUUUCCAGAUCACAGCCAGCAGACAAUUGCAAUAUGAUAAUUGACUUCUUACACUCAGUUACACACAAACAGCAGCCCGGCGACAUGGCGUCUUCACCCAUUCUCAAAAUAUUAAACUGUCUAAAUGCCAUUUCUGGAUCCUCACUAACAAGACCCAUCUCAACUUAAGAUGUCUUGUUAAAUUGAGACCUUGUUCCCCAGUGGACUUAAAUGUAAAACAUAUCUCUACCCUUGACAAGCAAUGUUAAUCCAUUUAGUGUAACGAACUAACAUGUCCCUAAUUAAAAUAUGCCUUUUAAUGAUACAUACUGACAUCCUGGAAAACACUGUCACGCUUCCCUCCUUUAAUACAGGAAUAUGCUAAUUGCUUCAGUAACACUGGUGUUCAAAUCCCAAAGGCUGCACCGCCACAUCCUGAGGGAGACAGCGUGUUGGGGUUUUGAAACCUCAGUUCAAAUAAAUAAAAAGCCCCCUUUAUGUGCUGUUUUGUUUUGGAAAUUGUGAGGGUGCUUUUGGGAUUGACUCGCUUGAUUUCCAUUCAUUUUCAGACAUUUAAUUUACUGUUCAGGCACCUCACGCCACAGACCUUCAGUCCAGCUCUUCACCUUCAGGUGCUGGAGAAGAGAUUCCGAGUAUCAAGCUUCCCAUGGCAGCUCAUUUAAAACAAAUCAGGCUGAUUGCUGAGUUUCUGCACUCGCACAGCCCAGGUGAUAAAGCAAUUAAAUCCCUCUAAUUCUUCAGUUCAGGAAAAGCCCCACAAGGUAAUUAACUGUGUACAACAAAGUCCUUUUGUUGCUCCUUGGUUUUCUGCAGAUUUUAUUUUGUUCCUUGAUGUGCAAGGCUGAUGGUUUGAUGGGCAGCGAGGGACGGGAUCAUGUGGGUGGGGUCUGCGGCCUCUGUGGCAGGGACACUGGAUGAGAGUCGCGCUUUAGUUAAUAGGCUCUCUCUGGACAGAUGAGGUCCAUUAGGAGGUUAAUUUAAAAAUGAAUGGAGGACACAGAGAGAGAGAGAAAAGGGAUGGCGAAAGAGAGAGGGUUGAGAUCAGACCACAGAGUUUACUGGAGAGGCAAAAUGCAGCAUCACGUGUUUAUUUUUCAGCGCUGCUAAUUAAGGAGGCGAUAAUUAAAUAACCGCACAUCCUAUGGAGCCGUUUAGUCAGAUUCUCACAAAAUAAAACAAGGAAGCCAGCUCCAGCCUCCAGCACAGCUGAACCCGAUCACUUCCCGUCCACGAGGCCAUUUUCUUAAACAUUGAGGCAUUGUUCAGAUGCAUGGACUGCAGCCCCUGCUUGCCUCCCAAAUUUCCAUUUCUUUCCCCCCUGCAGAAAAAGGCUGAAUCUGAUCCGGACCCAUUGGUGUGUGGAUAAUGAAGGGGUUACCAGGAGCUGGGAGAGGCCCAGUAAUUCCCCCUCACCGGGGGAGUGGGUUUUUGGGUGGGGUUUGGAUGAGUAGCCCUGCUCCGUGAUGCAUGCACUCAUGUGAGCUUGUGACAGACUUUACCCAAAUCCAAGGCCAGACUCAGAUGCUGCAUGUAUUAUAUAGAGAUACAAUAUAGUGCAAGAUUUCACUGCUGCAGAAUUCUGCUGUUCUGAUACAAAUGGAGCACUUUCACAUCAGAGUUUGUUCAGUUUAAUCUAAUAUCUUAAAUGGACUGGUGUGAAACAUGAGUACAUGUGCACUGAUGAUUAAAAUAAACACAGAAUUCCAGUUUAAGACCUCGACUCAAAAUCAAAAUCCCUUAUAUUCCACACUGACUUCAUUAUCUUCUUUUUCACUAGGCGUGGGAGUAACCCAGCUCUGCAAAGGUCACAAAAAUUAGCAUAUCAUCUGGCAAAAUGGUUAGCCAAUGUGUGGGCGUCUCCCUGAGGGGGGUCACCUUAAACAUCAGUGUUUAAGAGACCCCCGCACACUUCAGGGUUAAGUAUCUCCACUUCAUUAUGAUAAAGAUGUUAACAACUACCCAACCUACCAACGCUGUCAAUAGACGUAGAGUCCCGGCUCCAUCCGGCACAACUCACCACCCUCUCUCAGGACCCAGCCUGAGCCUCCAUCCAUCAUCUGAAUACUCCAGGCCCGAAUCAUUGCCGAUCAUUAUAGUAACAGAGAGAGAGUCCCCGUGAUUGGCCAUGAUUGUUAGAUCACAAAGACCUGAGGGGUGAUCCAUCAUGAUGGGUGGCACGCUAACACCUCUCUGUGAUGGGGUUCAGCUCAGGGGUCAGGGCCAGGUCAGCAGGAGGAGAACCCCCACUUGGAGAAUACCUCCAUCUCUCCCAGUAAGGCACAAAUGGAUCCAAAGGUGUAAGGAAAACAUUUUUGCCAUUCACAUUUUGAUUUGCAAGCAGCGGCAAAAUACAGAAUGUUCAAAGAAAGCAAAUAUGACCAGAUCUUAAAGGGACAUUCUGGCGUAAAAUUAAGUUAGGGUCAAAUACACCAUAAACGCAGAGUUAGACACCCCGUUAAGAGAUGAAUGUUGCCGACCGCUUGCUUCUCUAGUUAUACAAACUUCAGUAACGACCGCACGAUAGCAAUACACAGUGGUCUGAGGAGCCAUAAACAAACCUCAAACAAAAAAACACUCUAUAGCCACAAAUAAUGCUCAGAACAGCACCUAACUUCAUCAACAGUACAUAUAGGGUCCUAGCCACAGCACUAGCCACCAAACAUAUUUUUAACUUUGCCUGAUUUCUUUAGCAAAGAGACUAAACACAACUCACCCACUCUCUUCCAGCAGCCGCUUGUUUGUAGCGAGACCUCGGGCCGGUCCAUUAUGGACUAAAGCGGGGUGACGCAGCUCAAGGAAGAACAUUUACGAUCAUCUCCUCCUGUAAAUGCAAUCAGACCGAGACACUAAGGCAGAAGAACUACUGCGCCUGCAGCUCAAAAUAAUUAAUAUGAUGAUUAUUACUUCUAGGAAAUGACAAAGUAAUGAUCAUAAAUGUUCUUCCUCGAGCUGCGUCACCCCACUGUAGUCCUCAAUGGAUUGGCCCAAGGUCUUGCUACAAACAAGUGACAAAAUCGCAUCAGGCUUGAUGUGUAUAGUCAGGCGCGUCAAAAUUCUCCUCCGAAUAUUUCGUAAUUUCGCAUUGUAUUCACGCCUGCCCCGGUGUGUUAGGACCUUAACUUAAUUUUAUGCCGGAAUAUCCCUUUAAGACAGCUUCCCUCAAGUGGGCCCUGAGUAGUUAAAACUGAGCAUGAUGGCAAGAAGCUUAAUAAGUCUCAACAAGAAAUAGUGGACUUCCCAAAUGUUGAGCUUCAAAUAGGGCUAGCAUUAGCAAGAUAGGCAGCUUCUACUGUCAGACUGUGUGAUUUCAGACACAGUUGAACACAAAAAAGGACCGGGUUGGCUUAUUUCACAUUUUUCCAGGUCUGCUGACACUCCAAAAACCCAAGAAUAUGUAACUAAAAUACAAAAAAAUGUUGUUUAUUCAUAAUACACCCCCUUUGAGAGUGUAUGGCUCAUCACAUUUUGAUUAACAAAGCAAUAACACCAAAAGUAAUCAAUGUAAAAGCAACUUAAAAGGAAGCUAAUGCCUAUUAUUUGUGACCAUCAAAAGCAUAUCUGCAGAAUCCAUCAGUGGAUUUGGGUUUUCAGGAGCUUCGACCAUCAGGUGUACUUAGAUUUAGUCUCUUCGCCAGUGACCCCGUCCGGCUUUAACUGGUGCAAUACAGCACAAGGACCUGAGGCUAUGUGUUGUCAUCCAAAUGAGAUAAGUUUAUUUUCUCUGGACCAGCAUUUGUUCCAUCAGCCUGUAGGGUCGCACACCACACUAAGAAGCAGUGGGGAGUCCUUCUCAGCACCUGCAGCUCUAGCGAGGUGGCCCGCUAGCGAGGAAAGGCUUUGGCUGCUACCCAAAUAUCUGCCUGCACCUUCUGUGCAAACGCAGCAGCCCUAGGAAACCAGGAGGCAGCAAUAUUGUGGAACAAAUGUCCUCUAAUCUCAGCCUGCUGGUCCAGGGUCCUGGGUGGGGCCUCCAUGAUUGUCCCAUACAAAUACUUUUGAUCCUGGAUGGUGAUUACACAAGACUGAACAGGACAGAUUUACACAGGUGUCACAGCAAGGGUUCAAUGGCGUCCUUUCUAUGACAAUAUCUUGUAAAUGUGUGGGUAAUUCCUCCACGAUUAACAUGCUUACUUUAUGUCAACGCUUUUGGAAAAAUAUGCAGAGUCAUCUUUGGAAGCUGGCUUAGUAUGAAUGAAUGAAAAUGUCCAUAACAUGGAAAUAUGAUGACAAAAAUGACAUAAAGUAGAUCCUAUUGAACAACCACUCUAAUAUGAACUUAUCAUUGCCAGACUGUUGCACAAAACUAAAUCACUUUUCAAAUUUCUUUAUGACUUCAAAGAGGUUUUAUCAACAGGCCCAAACAAAGUUCUCUGGAUGAUACAGAGAAACACAUUUGCAGCAUUACGCUACCAGGCUUGGCUAUGUCUUAAAUUUCAACAUCCAAUUCAAGUGUCCUCUUGUUGAACUUAAAAACAAGUCUACAAGCAACAAUAAUGAAAAAAGACACAAUUCAAAAAGCAACAUUCCAAAUUUACAAGUCACUUGAACUGCCAUCUGGUGAGUUAGAUACUAAAUAGCAAUAAUCCAUCUAGAACUUUCCACAUCAGUAGCAGCCAUCUUGGAUGUUUACCGAAUGGUCAAAGGGUUCAAUGGUGCACUACAUUUAACUUAGAAGUUGGAUGUCAGUGCAAUGUUGCGACUUGACUUCGAUCCAGAUAUAUAAGCCGAAAGGUUGUUUAGCCUUUAGCUCUUGGUGUUGUUAGCAUUUUUGCUAAUAUUGGGUAAAAACUUUGUGGAAGUUUGUACGCAACAUACCUACAGGUAGGACCUUCACAAUACUAUCCAUGUGAUUGAUUUCAGGACACAAACAAGACCAAGUAGCUAAUUAAAAAGCACAGCUACACUGUCAAUGCGGGGAGAAACUAUGCGGGAUAUAUUGAAGCUCAGGUUCCUGAAGUUUCCCUGAGUUUCAGUGUUGUAGGUCUGACUUAGGGGGCGUACUACAGAAAUAAAAUGAGAUACAUUGUAAGCCACUUCGUUUAAGACAGACUGUACUGACUGGCUAGUUCUGGGCCAUGUGGCACAAUGACAUCCUGACACUGUGCUCCAAACUCAACAACCUACCAUGCACCAACAGCCUGAAUUAAUAUCAAAGAAAAGCCAGAAUUAUCUAAAAAUAAAGAAUAUGAAACUUAACUGGCAUUUCUUGAAUAUUCCAAUUGCCUUUUUUUAAAAAAAACUAAUGUGAGGAGAAUUCAACUGAAAUUAACUGUGAAGUUUCUUCAUGAGCUAUAAAAGCAAACAAGACAAUGACUAUGACUAUCCUUAAAAAUAUAGAACCAAGGGCUUACUAAAUACUCAUUAUGGUCACUGUGGUCAACAAGACAACAAGCACCACUCCAUUAAGAUAUCCACUUAUUACAACCUUUGCACCUGUAAGCCACAGAAAGAAAAACUAACUAAUCUAUAUACUUCUCAAAGCAGACUAAGGUGUUUGUUGGCCUGUAACACUCUGUAAGUGUUUUCAACUUCCAUUUGUACCAAUUUAUGAGGAUAAACAGAUGGUUUGUGGCUGUUUCUUAUGUCUCUUGCUUUCCCUUCAGGUCUCUUUAUCACUUACUUGAUGGUUUUGAAAGUAUUUGGAUAAACUUGAUAGAGUCAAAGACAAACAUAGAUCACAUUUACUUUGAAAAUAAAUGAUCCUUUCGCAUUUAUACAUUCUGAAACUUGGGAUUUAUCACUCAGAGCAGCUCCUGCAUACAAAUCCAAUCCCAGUCCAUUCAAUCAGUGACAGAGACCUGUAUCUUUUGUAGCCUGGCACACAAGAAGUUGCCCUGUGGAGUGUGUUAUUGGAAAAUAAUAUUUGAAAUUAUUUUCCUGAUCACUGGUUUAUCUCUUGGAAUUCUUCCAUCUCCAGUGAAAAGUUCUGCAAUUUGAGCAAAACAAACAGAAAAGCAGUCAUCUACAGGGACUGAAAUUUAUUUUUACUGUUCCAAAAACUGACUUUCCAUUUUUCAUAAUCAGUUCUAAUAGAUAAAAAUUAAACCUUAGAGUGCAUGAAAGGAAAAGAGCUUUCUGUUUUCAUAUUCAGUAUUCUAAUGUUCAGGUUUUAAGCUGCUUUGGGAAAAUAUACUGAAUGGACUUAAAAAAGGUCAAAGGCUAGAUGUAGAUCAGAGUUGGUACUGUAUAUAGAAUCUAUACAUACGUGCAUGUUUGUGUUUCUGUGUGUGUGUGUUUGCUUCAAAUGAGCAGUCAGCUGGGGGAGGAGUGUGUCUCUAUGGUAACGGUCUGGUCCCCAGCUGUCAUAGUCAAGAAGACGAUGGGUGCCAUGAGCGAGGAGACCACUUAACCUCAGCUGCUCCUCAGCUUAGGGGAGUCAAGAUGCUGCUGAAACCCUUACAGACCCUCACUUAAUAUGUAGACAAUAACCCCCCUGCUCACCACACAAAAGACGACUUCAAAAAAAAGACAGAGCGAGGAGGAGAGAAACAGAGAGAGAGUGUUUUAGAGUGGAGUUCACUUUCAGCAGAUGGGCUGUUUUAGGGGUAGAAGUGAGGGGAAAUUGGGGGGAAAAGAUAAUUAGCUCUGGUUUAACAGAAGAAUCAUUUUAAUUGUAACAGUGAGAGUUUAAUUUCUGAUGGAAGGAGGUCGUUUUGGAGCAGAUUUUAACUCCGGUGUGACCAUCUGCCAGAGUCACAUCAAAUGACAUCUUUUAAAAGAUUUGCUGUUUUUCUAAACUCUGCUUUUACAUAUGAUUCUAUGACCUGAACUUCCUUCAUAAUGCAUACUAUAACCUUAAAAGUACACUAAAAAUGAAGCUUAUUAGUUAUACACAGUUAUUGAAUCUUAGGGCUGACACCCAGAAAUUGUUCAAGAAAACACGUGAACUUUGCUAACACACAGCAGCAGCAAAGUAAGUCUGUGAGGUGAUGGUUUCCAAUGGAAAACAGUAUUCGGACAUUUCACUUCACAGCAGGAUACAAUGUGAAUGUCAGGUCCACAUAAUGCUGUUUGUUUUGUUUCCUUCCUGUGUCCUCUCUUUUGUCUUUUUUUGUUUAGUAUAGUGCGAACCCCAUCCAUAAACACAAUCACAGAAACAGCAAGGACGCUGGUUGACUCUAGUUAACCUUCCUCCCGUGUUAGCUUUUACUAUGAACUCACCAUGUGAAGGGUCGGUUUUGACCCGUGUCUUAAAUCAGCUGUAAAUUUCACUAAAAUCAAUCCUCUAUCAUCCAAUUUGGUUCUCAUCUCUAGGUUACCUUGUUAGGCUUCAUUAUCCAUGAAAAUGUUGCUUAGAAUAUUUUUUUGUUGUGGGCCUCUGGGUCUUUCUUUGUCAGUGUACCCUUCACACAGACAACCAUACUGAACUGAUCUCACAUGUCUAGACAUGCCCACAUUUUUUUGUGCAAAGAAAACAUGGCAAAAUGAGAAUUUCCUAAGUCUCACAUGAUUGGAAGAGGAUCUGACUGUCAGCAUGGUGCCUGACAGUGCGCUUAUGAUUUCAGUUUUUGCUCUGAUUAUUAGAUAUUGACUUAACUGGGUCAACAGCGACCCUAACACGACAAGUGCCAUUUUAUAAUAUAGUCAAUUUAAUGUUUUUGUUUUUAUUUUGUUGAAAUCGAGGUUCCUGACAAAGUCAAAAGCCUUAAUUCACAAAAGCUAAUUUAAGUGGUUCUUUUAAGCAUUUAAAAUCAAAAACGGGUCGGUGCAGACCCUAACACAGGAGGAGGGUUAAGAAAGCAUAAGGGCAUAACUAAAAUAAAUACAAGGGGAAAAUGGGAAUUUUGUUGUGGUGACAGCAGCGUUGACACUCUUUAAAAGGCUGGACAUUAAUUAAACCUCUUUCCUCUUUAUGUCUCAUUACUUCUAGUUAUAGUUAUCAAACAGACUUUGAACAUAAGACCCCCUUCAUCACACCUGCUGUUGGAAAAGUGAAUAAUUUGGGGUUUGCCAGCUGACAGGCCUAGACCACUGGAUUUGAGGAGCGAGGGAAGGAGAUGGGUGAGAGAAGAAGAGAAAGAGGGAGGAAGGGUUGGCUUUGACAGGGUGUCGUCCCAGUUUUGACACGUAUUGCCGGUGACAGAGGUCAGGAGGUCAGACAGGAAGGUCUGUUGUCAUGAAGGGGAAGUGGUGUGCAUUGUUCAGCCCUCUCUGACUGAACAGCCGCAGCCUAAUCAGGCAUUGUCGCCGCUGCCCGACAUGGACAGCACAAGCUCAUUCGGUGUCUUCUCCUUUAUGUACCAUUGUCUCUUUGUCCGACCCUGUCUCCAUCACUCCUGUCUCUCUCUUGGCCUCGAACCAAACCUUAUUUUUCUCCUUUUACAUUAAAAAAUUCCUUGUUUUUCUUCCUCCAUAUCAACCCUUUUUCCCUCCGGCGUCCACACAUCUCCCUCUAGCUUUCUGUAUGUGCAUGCAUUUUAUGUGUGUGAGCGUGCGGUCUUCGCCUCAGGCCUUCCCCUGGGAGGCUUCACAGGCUUUAGAGGCCAAAUGAGGUGUAAGUCUAUUAAAAAAGGCCGAGUCAAUGUGCAGAUUCCCCACUAUGGCUUGUCAUUCAGGGGAAGUUAAUCUCCACUUGAUCAACAGUAGAUGUGCUGCAGAGGUGAGCGCAGAGAGACUGACAGGUCAGCGUCAAACAUCCACCACCUUCCCGCUUCUCUUAGCAGCCUCAGGUGAACCCUUAAGACCUUGCUAUGCUCAGGUUUAUGUUGCAAAAACAUCCGACACGUAUGCAAGUCUGAUCUCAUUCCAAACACUGUCAAAGUUUGCACAUAAAUUCAGGGAAUGACGGAUUGGUACAGCACCCUGUGAUUCAUUUGCAAUGGAGAUUCUCUUGAUAACCAUUCAGUGGAAACAGGACAAAACAAGCAUGUUUGUAGGCCACACAUAGUCUGCUGUUAGUGUAUAUGUGCAGCCAAAUCCUAGGAAAGGACAGAGAGAUUAAAUAGGCCUGUUUAUUCAUAUGAAGAUGACAAAUGUAGGAAGCUGGAGGAAAAGCAACGACUCUGAGGACACACUAUUUAUUAUAAAAGUGCCUGUGGGUCAAUGUAUUUUUAUCUAAAUCAGGUCCAAGCCCGUUUCACCAGCCGCAACACCAGGCAGGAUGCAGGUGUUUCUGCAUAACCUACUUCAGGUAGUGUUUUGAAUAAAUGUUAAGUUCUAAGAUAGAUAUAUUCAGUCUCAUAAAAUGUCUUUUUUUUCAUGUAACUUGUUAGAUGUAAGCAUUUUGUCCUAGGAGCAAAGUGACAUGUGAGCUGUGUAGCCCGAGUCUGUCAGAGCUCAUUACAGGUGAGUCUGAGUGUAGCUUGCACUGCUAAAAAAUUUAAUUUGCUAUUGAUUUGAUACUUAAAUGGUCCACGUCCAGUCCUAUCAUUAUAACAUAGAAGCAGAGCUGCCAAUACACAAAGAGCACUAACUCCUCUCAGGGUGACUCCAAAGGAUGUGAGAGUUUUUUUAUAGACUCAGCAUCACAUGAAGUCCAAGGAUCUCUCUGUGUUUAUUCAAAUGUGGAGGGACUUUCUAUAUAUAAUGAGGAUUCUGAUUUCAAACAAGAUCCUAAACAUACAAAUAAAAAGCAUGAAUGAAAUUCCCAUACACUGGACUGGAUGCAAAGGAACUUAAACGAGGCUUAAAAUGAGAUCCUGUAAAUCUGUAGUAAAGUAAAUUGAUAAGUUUUAACCCCAUUGGCAGAUGUUUUAUUUAUUGGCAGUUUAGUUCUUACUUUUUGCUUGUAAAUAGGAUAUUAAGUUUUGUUUUUUUUUUUGUGAAGGUGGUUAAUAAAUGCGCUCAUAAGACAUAUUUGGUAACACUUUAUUUGACGCCUAUCUCUAUAAGGCAUUAUAAAUGUAUUAUGUGUUAUAAUCACGUUAUAGCACUGUAUAACUAUAGUUAUAAACACAUAAAUGAUCAUAAUGCUUUAUAGCAAUAAUCAUAACACAUUAUAAAGCAUUUUAUCAUGGCUUACAAGAUCAUCACUGUUAACAACUCAAUGACAAUGCCCACAUGGAUAAUGCGUUAUACAUAUAUUUAUAACGUGUAAUAACUUGCUUAUAAACUUGUAUAACUACCAUUAUAAACACUCAUUAAUUAUCAAACGGCUUUAUAACAAUAAGCAUAACACAUAAUAAUACCUGACCUUGAGUCAUGAUAAAAUGCUCUAUAACAUGUUAUGAUUAUUGCUAUAAAGCAUUAUGAUCAUUUAUGAGUGUUUAUAACUGUAGUUGUAUAGCCAUAAUAGACAAUGCUAGCAGGCAUUUACUUUUUAAAGGUGAUUCAGACCAAUUUAUCCACAUUUUGGCAGAUUUUUUCUCUUAAUACAAAUAAUUCAGGCCUAUUUAUUACAUCUUAGAGGAAGGCAUUUUAUGGAUAAGAUUACAGAUCCCAAGCUAACACAUGUUUCCUGGAUCUACAGUUGUCCUUAUGUCCACAACAAAGAAAUCCUUGAUCUAUACGGGGAUGACAUUGUCCAAAAUGCUCUUAGUAUCCAACAAAGAAGAAAUCUUGUAUCAAUUCAUGCUGAGGUCAUUGCAAAAUCUUUCCACUUCACUGUGGUUAAAAAAAUCCAUGAUGCUUUACGUUGCCUCUGUAAUCGACACAUUUCUGCAUAAAUUGAAUAGCUGAGAUUGCGCACUAUAUUUUGCAUUUCAAGUGUCAUAAUAAGACUGGAAAUCGAGGUUUUCACUACUUUAAAAAUGUGUGAGUUGUUCAGUGGGUGGACACAGAAACAGACUCCUGCCUUCAAACUGUAUUUCUCUGUCGUCUGCCUCAGUCUGCUCUGCUCUGCUCUGGCUGAAGAGGGCUGAGGUCAGGAGCCCAGCUCUGACCUCUCUGGACCCAUUUCUCUGACAGACAUUUGUCACUCUGUGUGCUGUAAUAGAUUAUUGACCACCUCAGCAGUCCCAUCACUCCACUCUGCAAAAAUCCACAACCAUCUCGCCACACAGAAGCACAAAGACCAGGCAGGAGAGCAACAGCAUGAGGACCACAUGCUACCAUAAAUAUGAACCAGCACUGUAAAUUCAAGCAUCACUUUGAUUUGUUUGUGAAUGAUCCUGUUUUAGAAAUUAAAAUCACCCCUGAUACAAUUGAAAUUAAUGGCUUUCCAGAGUUUAUAUCAAUACCUGAAUAGCUGGAAACAAGCAGAACGAUCAGCCUGACAUUUAAAAAUGAGCUGCAACACAUUAUGAACAGAAAUGUAUUGAUCAAGUCGAGCAGAGUGUAAGUGAGCUACAAAGUCUGUUUCUUUAAAAGAGGAAGAGCGAUGCUGGUCUGUCUCUGAUGAAUUCAGGGGAAAGUAGGUCUUUCCUCCAUAUUGUGUGUUUUGUCUUUUGGCACAUUCUGGGGUCCUUAAUUGUAUGAUAAUUCAUCUCGGAGCACUAAUUUACCCCCUGCCAGUUGCUUUAAAUGUUGGACCAUUUUGUGAACCAGCACUCUGAAUAAGAAAUGAGCCCAUGGCCCAAAGAAGUGUGGCUUCCAGCUAAGGAGCAUAUUUAUACCCAUAUUCUUCAUAGUUUUUAUUAACUAUUAGGGCUCUGGGCAAAUUAGAGCCCAUAUGUGGUAUUUUCUGAUACAAAGGCAUGCGUUUAAUUUCUCAUGAUUUGCCUCUUUUCCAUCUUCAUUGAGAGAUAAAAUAGUAAUUGUUUGGAAACACUUAUUUGGCUUUUCAAAAUAAGGCUCAAACACAAAGGAAGAACAUUUAAAUACACUGGUUUGGAAAACACUGCAGCAAAUGGGCUUUCUUCUAUUCUGGAACAUAAUGAUUCAAAUCCAGUGCAGUGUGAUGGUUUUGAUGUGGCAUGUUGGGUCUGCAAUAUGUCCCUCUCCAGCAAUUCAUAUAAUAACUACCUGCUGUUCGGAUUCUUGGGCCCUGUCUGUCAUACGAUCGGGGGACAUUUAAGCUUAUUUCGCCAUUGCUUAUUUAGCCACAGGAGGCCUAUUAAUUUCAGCAGGGCCUGUCCUCUCCAGGGGCGAUCGCUACCCGCAGCACGCGCGUCCCAUUGUUUGGAUCCAUUUACAUCUGUGGUCAAUGAAUAAUGACAGCUCCAACACGGCAAAACACAUACUUGCACACAAAUGCAUAGGGACAUGUGCAGACGCCGGCGAAAGACGAUUUCUCAAAUGAAAGUUGAACAAAAACGGAAAAUUAAAUUUAGAGGAAUGCUCUUUGUGGCGGAUUUAUAAGAUUUACCAAACCGAGCUGCAACUUCUCUUUGUGAUUCUCCACUCUGUUAGAAAUUCUGCUGGUACGGCUGUUGUUUUGGCAUCCUCCCAACCGUAUUUGACCCAUUAAAUUAGCCACAUUGGUUGAUAUGGUGCCAUGCUAAUGUUGAGGGUUUCUCUCCAUCGGGUGCACAGACUCCUGGCACACGCUGUUUCGCUCUGGCUGUGCAAAAGAGGCUGUGCCACUGCUACCACACAUCAUAGAAUAUUAACCCUUUUCUGUUCCCUGGCAAAUGCACCAGAUGGCACAGCACAAUAACAGCUGUCAAUUUCAAGGCAGUGCCUCUUUGGUGGAUUUUUUUUCCCCCUUUGCUCUUUGGGACGCUGGGAGGAUUUUUUAAGACAUAAUAAGCGAGGCUGAUGUGCUGUUUCUGAUCGUAAUGAAUCAAAUGUUACAGCGGAGCAAGAAGCGUGUUACCUCCCUGGGAAAGCAGAGAGGUGUUACGGAGCGAGAGCAACAGUCAAACACGCAUAAACACACACACACACAUAUACACACGCAAGCAGGAUGGAGCUGUGGAGGAAGAGAUGUUGCACAUUGAAAUGUACGGCACCAGGUUGAGGUUUCCCCUCCUUCCACCCGAGCGAUCGUAGCAGUCAUGAGAUGAGGUCCCUGGUGCCCCCUCAGCUGCCACUCUAGUUAAAUUAAAACUGAGGCCUCCAAAUACAUCCCUCAUUGUGGGCCUAAAGCACAGGAAAGUUGUAUUUGGCCCAAGUGGCGGCUAGGGAAUUGUCCCCCUAACCCAGUCCCAUUCGCCUUAUUUACAUGAUAAAAGCUGGAGUCAGGCAGAGCCACAGGCGCCAGAGCUGUGGUGUGUUUUUUUUCCCCUGCUUGUAUUCAUUUCUUUACCAUCACUUCUCCUUCAUGCGACAAAAUGAUAGCAAUUUAGAUUUGGUCCAACACACUCCCUGGAAACAGGACAGGGAAUUGCCUCUGUGCCUGUCACGUGGUUCUCCCUUCACCCUGGCUUCCUGAAUCAGAGGUACAGAGAGAGUUUUACAUACAUCUGACUGACCUAUCAGUCUGUGAUUUACCUUUAAGAGAGCUCCUCAAGUCGUGUCUCAGUUUCUCCAACAGUUUUAUUUUGAAAAGGACUCAACUUGCUCCAAGACUACAAGAGUAUAGAGAGUAUUAUGGAUUUUGCUGUUUUUUUUUCUCUCUCAGUUCAAUCAUCUCACUUUCUCCAGCUGGAGUUAUGAACAGCAGACGCACACUGUAUAACUGUCACAGAGGUCAUCUAUCCCUCUCAUGCUGUGCUUUUGUAACUCAAUUUCCCACCUGGCUUGAGCUGAGGGCGACACACACAGAAGUCAAUUCCAAUAGCAGCUCUUCAAAGUGCAUGUCCAAUCGAGAACUCUGCAGUUUAACCUGAACGGACUUCAUCAAUCGCAGAGUUGAGGUAAAUCAAUUUUGAAUUGACCCGAGUCCCAGCGCUCUCUUAGGUGACAGUGCAUUGUCUAUACGUGCUGCACGUCCACACCUGACUCUGCUAAACGAAUCUGACUUAAUGACAUCACACUGGAGCGUGUCAGUAACGUGCUCGCCAGCUAAAUCCUCGCUCUCAUCGCUUCUCCCGGAGUCUUUUAAUGCCACAGGUUUCUGGCCUGGAGGCUAAAAGGAGAGAAGUGCAGUCAGCAGGAGGUAAAAUCCAUACGCAUCUCCUGAGAUCUCAUCACACUCAUCAGUGUAAGAACUCAUAUAAUCCUGCUAAUGUCUGUGUGUCUGUCAAUAGCAGCUCUCACUGAGACAAAACUCUCCUAAUUAGAAAACCAAAGUGCAAACACACUUUGUCUGUCUGUCUGUGUGAUGAUGGAGAGAGAGAGAAAACUAGAUGAUGAGGAGCGAGGUAGGUAAAAACUGGAACACACAUCAUUGAAUUUGCAUGAGUCAAUCGUCUAUUUGUGAUUUUCAUAAUUAGCCGAGUACCUCUCACAUCUACAAACUCCCUCUUCAUAUCCCCCCUGCCAUUUCUCCAGAAUGGUAUCCUCCCCCUUAAAGAUUAAUUGAAGCUGGGAUAAAACAAAAUGGUUCCCAGGGGGUGGCCCACUGUUUGUUAUUCAUGUGGGUCUGAAAACAGCAACAGUAAAUCCUCUAAGUUGUUGUUAAGCUGGGGAUAUUACCAUAUGUGUGCCAUUUCCAUAGACUGACAGCUCCCUCUGGAUCAACUGGGGACUAUUGAUCUUGCAGCACUCCAUUUCAAGUUAAUUGUGCUUGAAAUGAGGUCCACACUCCCAGGCAUACCUUUGUUUGAAAGGUGGAUAUUCAUUUUUAUUUGGCAGGAUGUUGAUAUCACAGACACAGGAUAUAUUCUAUAUUUAGUUUAUGUUUAUCCUGAAGAAGCAGUUUCUCUUGCAGUGAUUGGUCAAACAGUCAAACACUGAUAAUAGCCUGAAGAACGCCAGUGCUUGUGUUGUUCUCUCAGUUGUGAUUGGACAGAAAUAAUGCUCCUCCUACACCAGGGAGAAAGAGAGAGAGAAGCCAGGGUUGUAUUUAUCAUGUAGAAGAACAUCUCAGCUCCAGAUUUCCCUUUUUCGUGUAACAGAGCGGGAGUUUAAGAGAACGUUAAGAUUUCUCAUUAACCUCCAUGUGAAAGAAGAAAGAUUGAGGAAGUAAAUCUUUUCCUUAAGAGUAAUUUUAUAGUCCUAACAGCGCAGCCACUGAGCACAAAUGAAGGGAAAGGAAAACUUUGGGUCUUACCAUGAUCUCGGUGAUACUCAUUUUUUACUAGCUGAAGAUUUUAGUUUAUUUCUGACAAUUGAUGCUUUUUAACUAUCCUUGCAACUUCUUAAGAUCUAGAAUUUUGUCCCAGCAAUGAGCAGCAGACUUGUUUCUCUUCUCUUUGUGGAGGAAAUGAAACUUUAAAGACUAGGACGCCAAAAGACAUAAACUUUAGUGGGUCAUAUUAUUCAGCGCUGUCCUUUUAAACAUCAUCUAUCAUCAGCAUCUCAAAGGACAGACAAUAUCUAAAGAGCUCACACAAAAUGUCACAUUUUCACCACCACUUUCACACAAUAAUGAGGAUGCCAUGUCAAGUCCUCAUCAAUUUGAACUAAUCACAGACAUUUGCAGACACCCACUGAUGUCUUUGCCACUAGGAGAAAUUUGGGGUUAAGAGUCGCCAACAGGUACCAUGGCUGAGCACUUGUUUGUCCAAUUUCUGGUGUCAAUUUGAGGACAACAACACAGCUAGAGUUGUCUGAUAUACUUUUAAAUAACAUUCACUUCACAGCAAACAAAUGCCAUGUCAAAUACUUUAAAUUCUGCAAGCACACAGUAAAAUUUCUGGCUUUUAAAAGUUAUAACCCCAUCAUUGGCAGGACUGAAUUGAAGUUUCAGACUGUGAAAUCAAACACAGUAAAUGUAGGCAGCAUUAAGGUCCAAUAAAAACAAGUGUAUUGUUAAUGUACAGUAUUUUACCGUACCGCACUGCACUGUAGCCUAUCACACUACAUCCCACAUCCAACCACAUCACACUACAUUAAAUAACACUGCACAGCACCUCUUUGCAUAUCGCGUCACACCCCGAAGCAUUAUAGUGUAGUACCACAUCACACGGUAUCACAACACACUUCUCAUAUCUAUAUCGUAUCAAAUCACAUCAUAACAAACCACAUUGUAAUAUGCCAUACUAAAUUUUUCCAUCAUAUUCUACUGUAUUACACUGUGUCAUGUCCAUUCAGAUCAUAUCGUAGCAUACUGUAUCAUUAUGCUGCAUCGUAAAGUAUUGUAGCUUAGGAUAGAGAAAGGUCACGUGUCAUUAUCAUAUUGCGCUGUAGCGUUGUGUAGUGUAUCCUGUUGUAUCUAUCUGUUUUUAUCUCAACUUGUCUUGUAUUGUUGCACUAUAUUGUUCCAUAUAAUAUAAAAUUAUAUUAUGUUAUACUGUAUCAUGACUGUGUCCAUAUCUGUAUCAACUCUUACAUUUCAAGCCCUUCAGGCAUCACUACAAAAAAUCUGAUGGCUUUUAAAAGUCUUUAAUUUUUGAUAGAAAUUUGCAUGAAACACAAAAAAAUAUUAUUCAUUUUUCCUCUUCUUCAAGUAACAUGGUGCUGAAUAACAUGAAGCUGAAUUUAAGGUGUUUUCCAUAGGAAUUUUACUUCUCAGAAGUAACCUGCUUCCAGGCCUCCUGAACUUUAUUAAAAACCGUGAGCAAUGCACCCCCUACUUAAUGUGAGCAUGGACUUGUUUGCUCACCGUUGCUCUUACUUACAGGAUUAAUGAUGUUGUUGACCCAGAAGAAAUUAAUUGUUUCUAAUCACACUGUUUCAAGCUAAGAAGGCAAACUUUCCCACCGACCGGCCAAUACACAGGAAAACAAACAAUUGAGCCAGAAAUUCAUCCACUCAUUUGCAGCGAUUAUUCAAAUACAAAGCCUUAACGGGAAACCUUACAAGCUACUUAUGCAAAAGUUCUUAGCAUUUAUUUUACUUGGCUUGAUUAACUGAGAGUCCUAAACUGCUCUGUAAACUUGUGCCAGACUCACAUGAAGGUGAACUUUCCUGUUAGAAAACACAGAAAAUUCAUUGGAAGUUUCACAGCUUUGUGGCUACUGUAUGUACAGUAUAAUCCCUGUCAUGAUUAAGAGCAAAUCGGAUUAGCAUAUGUGACAUAUGUGUGUUUAUACAGCUACUUUUGACAGCCCGACAGGAACAGAGUGUGAGAGGUAGACUUCCAAGGAAUGAAGCAAAGUACAACCUCAUUAAGACAAAAGAGAAAACGGUGAGGUAAGCCCUGUUACGGCCCAAAUACUGCCACUCACACUGAUUAAACCUCUCAGUCUCAACUGCAUCAUAAUCCUGCUCAGAACUCAUGAAGGCGGAUUCCUGAGGAGGAGGAGAAGAAGAAAAACACCCAGAGACGAUACCAGAGGAGUGUCAGUCCCAAUCUGAGAACCAUUUUGGAAUAUUCCCAGUGCUGAUCCCUCUGAGGCAAAGAGCUGCGUGGAAGAGAAAAGAUGCAAACCCCAUCUUCCCCAGUAAUCACUCCCAUACCAGUGUAAUGUCCCUGACUGUCGCCAGAACAAUAUCUGUUUGCAGAUCACAACAAAUAAAAGGUGUGUAAUGGGGGACAUUAGAGGGGCCAGCACAUAGAGGCAGGAUUUAAUUUGCAUGGCAGAUUAGCCUCCUAGUCCCACUGGUGGGGCAACAGCCCCGGGGGCAGACUCACCCCUUUUCUUGUUCCCUCCAUCUCUUUUAUUCCUUUAUUAAUAGGAUCUAGUCGCUUCAAAUCCAUUAAGUCAAUUGAGAAGGCCCUUAUAUAAUCUGAUUUCAAAUCCAGCAUGGAAAUGCUUAACCAGUAGCGCUGGCUUCAUGCUGGUAUUCCCUCUUCAGGCCACUUCAAGGUACUGUGAGGGAGGAUAGAGAGGAGAGGGAGGCACGGACUGAGCAUGUAGAGCUGCACGCUGAGAAGAUGCAAGGAAAGAAAAAAGGGCUGAUUUUUUUACGUAAUAAAUGCCAAAAAUAGUGAGAAAAUCCCUUUAGGAGUGGUGGGAAUUUUGCUGUUUACUGUCCUGCCUGAGAGUAGAGGCCACACGUGAUGUUUCCUAUAUUUAAAAUAUAUUGUUAUCUGAAUUUUAAACGUUUAAGAUAAUUUUUAAGAGCUGGGCUUUGGACUGAGAAGGUCAUGAACUUCUUAAUUCCUACUUCUUUGACAUAUUUAAAGAAGUAGGAACCUUUUGCUCAUGAUUGUGAUCAUCACUUCACCUCUGCUGGGUUGUAAUUAUCACAAUAAUGACAGCAUAGGUCGCCUUAUAGUGAACAGGGUGAUUUCACUCCCUCUGUAAUUCUUAUUAACUUGCUUUUGUACCAAAAUCUUUCACACCUAAACUCUGACAGUGUUCAUCAGCGUUUCUGUUUUAUUUGUUUUGCAGCUCUGAUUUGUCAGUGUUGUGGAAAGGUCUUUUACUUGACCUUUCAUUGGUCUAGGCAACUAAAAAUGAUGCAUUUUCUCUGUCGGUUUACAUCAAAUCUCACUAUAUGACCCAUAAAGUUAAAGUUUUUUACACCUCCUCUCCAUCAGUAAAAAAUUAACUAUAUGUGCAUUCAUACAAGGGCGAAGAAUCCCUGAGUGUUAUGUACAAAAUAAAUACAUGUUACAUCUUCCGGGCUACCUAUUUCCAAAUCCCAGAGGAAAAGAGGGAGAUUGAAAGAGAAAGAGGGAGAGAGAGAAAUCACGGCUGGAGGCUUUUUGGUCUCUGCCCUCUGCGCUCUGGUCUGACUGGGGCCAAGUUUCGCCUCAGUGCCCCGGCGAGCCUCAGCUUUACACAGGCAGACAAACACACACACACAUACACAAACGCACGCACACACAUACACUCACAGCUGGGGUUACCAGUUAUUAGACAGCAAGAGGAGAGCCAAGUACACACUUUCACAAAAUCAUGCAUUCAUAAAUACAUUUACUGGGCCUGAACUCCUCUCUCACAACACACAACUGAGUGACAUGGACGCAAACGGCUUGACAGCUUGAGAUGCUGCAUAAAAGGUGAAGCGAUUACAAAUACAGUCGGCUUGUAAUAAGCUAGCGGGUCUUCCUGUGUCAAAAUGUUACAGAAUACAUUUUUCGAGACAGCAUUUUGAUUUUCAAAACAGUAAAUCAAGUUUAAAGACGUAACUUAAAAAAAUCAAUUUGUCAUUAUUAAUCUCGCCGCCUCUUAGGAUAUUCUCAUCUGUCUCUUUCAUACAGACUUUAAAGUUCACCUCAGGUCUGCCAAGUGCAUGAUACUCCUUACUCAAGGUGCGUUAUGAAUCCUGUGAUAUCAACCUUGAAUUACAUCUGUGCAUCCCCAGUCCCCCCCCAAUCCACGUCUUAUUAACAUAGAAGGCAACAGCAGCAGCAACAAUGUUUUGCUAACAGUUCAUGCAUUACCACUCAGGGGAGGGUUAGCACCAUGCAUCCCUGCAUCUCAAACACACACACGUGUUCCCCAGUGUGAUUCAGUGAAGAAAAAAAAAUAGCACAACAGCGCUGAUCAGAGCCGCUCAACUCGCCCGCUCCGCACUCGGGGCCCCUGACAGAAGCAGUGAUGUUUGAGAUGCAGGGAGCCCUGAGUUCGUCCAUCACUGAUUAGUAAAAACUCCAGCUCAAUUCCUGCCCAGCUGCUGCCGAUAUGCACGUCGGUGGAUCUUGACAUGAGCUCUGAACAAGCUUAUUUUUACACUAAGACAUAAGUGGACUAACACAAAGGCUCAUGUAAACAAAGACACACAAACAGGCGUGCGUGAGACGCGUGUGCACUCUGACAAAUGCUCUGCUGUGUGCAGGAGCUGUUGUUUAAUUUGUAAAACACAGCUCAGCAAAGCUGGAGCAAAGCAGGCAAUUAGAGGCUCUUCUUCCUGAGCACUUGACUGUAUUCCUUUAACCUUUACACAAUGAUUUAUGUCAAAGGAUUUGUCACCUUCGCAGAGGGGCCUUCACACAGGGCUUUUCAAAAACACACAAUGGGGUAAGAGGAAGGGAAAAAACUUACAAUCCUCCUGUGAGGAUUUUGGAACUUAUAUAACUCCCAAUUAUCAAAACUUCUUGCAGCCUGUGCAGGCCUCCCCUCUGUUUGUAAGACUCACAAAAUAGUUACAGUGCCACUGAAGAGUGUAUAAUGCCUGUGUGCCCACAUGACUGGCGAAAACACUCCUGCUCUUUCUGCCCCGCUGAGUCCUGCUGCAUAAUGGGGGUCUUGAAGGCUCUGGGCUCAGAGCGGGCCUGCCUAACAAAGCCUUGGUGGCUUGCAGCAGACAGGAGAGUGUGUUUGCGAGCAGCUUGCCAAAAACUAAUUUUCAGGAGGUUUUUUGUGGGAUGCAGUGGCAGCAGCAUGACAGUGUGAGGUUUAGAUAUCUUGGUGAGCGGGGAGGGCUGGGGGUGAGAUAUGUAGGUCUUUUGUGAAGGUCCAGAGAGUUGGUUCAAGGAGAGGAAGUUCACAAAUUGGUAGUUCGGAAUAAAUUGAAGAAGAAGAAAGUUUGGUUUAGCAUUUAUUUAUUUUUUUCUCUUUUUGUUUGUGCCACUGCAGGAAAUUUGUAAAUUCACACCGCUUUAUCAAGCUGUUUUUUGGAAUUAAUUUCAGAGUAACCGCACCAAGUAAUCCGCUUUCACUAGUGUGCCAACCAGUCACGUAUUAAUUUCACUCAAUCUGUAUCUAUCUCUCAUCAGUUUUUUCCCUCCAUCCCCUCACUGUUCACUUUCCUUUUCGCCCCACAGUAAUGUACCUGUUUACCUUUUGGGUGGUCUUGAGCCGGGCUAAACUAAAGCCCCAGUCCCUGCUAUGUAAGUGUAGAGUAGCUGCUAAUCCGAUUUCAGGAAACAGCCAAGCCCCCACCUCCUUACCCCCCAGAAACCCCUCCUUCGCCUGUCCCCAUCCAAGCUCACCCCUUCUCCUCAGAGAGCGGGGGAAAUAAAGGAAAAGUGAGUGACAGUGAAGGAGUCAGAGGGAGGAAUAUUUUGAGAGGGAGUUUGGUUAUUGGAGUAUUUUCAGCGUAUGCUUUAAUACCUCAGGAAUACAUAACCAAUGCUCUAAUGUGCAUCUGGCCCUUUAACAAGGUUUGACACAGGGGACAUAUUACCUGCUCACUGACUGGUCUCUCCUCUGAGUCCACUCUGCCCUCUCUGGGACGUUACCGGGGCCAAACAUAAAGCAGUGUUUCAUGGUGCGGGGGGCUUAUCUGGCCUCUGAAAGUAUGUGAGACAUGCCAGGAAACAAAGGAGCGUCUCUGCGCCCACUAGCAGGGUGAGCAUAUCCCUUUCACAGGCCACACAUCUCCCUGGAUUUUCUUAUUUGACAGGCUCAUGGUGGGUUUUCAGGGGAGAAGGUCUGCACCUGGAGGGAGGCUAACCAGCAGAGCAAAUGGACCUGUGCUGCCAGGGGAGAAGCAGACACAAGAACCAGUUCUCAUUCCCAACAUAGUGGCAGUGUUUCAGAGUUUAUAAAAAAAUACGACUCUUGUUAAAUACAAACUAUCAUCAAUUUUUAAUCAUAAUCUGCUUUUAGAAAUUUCAAGACAUCCAGGUUAACUACUUUAAUUUCAAUUAUACAGGUUUAAACUAUAUUUUAUUUAGUAAAAUAACAGGUUAUAAACUGUAAGUUUUUGUUAAUAUACUAUUUUCGGUAACACUUAACUUGAUGCCUCUCUCCAUAACGCAUUAUAAAUAUAUGUGUAAUGCAUUAUAAUCACGUCACAGCACUGUAUAACUAUAGUUACAGACACUCAUAAAUAAUCAUAAUGCUUUAUAGCAAUAAUCAUACCGCAUUAUAAAGCAUUUUAUCAGGUAUUAUAAUGUGUUAUAACUGUUAACAACUCACUGACCAAGACCUCAUAGAUAAUGCAUUAUACAUAUAUUUAUGAUGUGUUAUAAUUUGCUUAUAAACUCGUAUAACCAUCAUUAUAAACUCUCAUUAAUUAUCAUAAGGCUUUAUAACAAUAAGCACAACACAUUAUAAUAUCUGACCUUGUAAGUCAUGAUAAAAUGCUUUAUAAUGUGUUAUGAUUAUUGCUAUAAAGCAUUAUGAUCAUUUGUGAGUGUUUAUAACUAUAGUUAUACAGUGCUAUAAUGUGAUUAUAAUGCAUUAUAUAUAUAUUUAUAAUGCGUUACAGAGAUAGGUGUCAAGUAAAGUGUUACCGUAUUUUCUAAAGGUUAUUUCAUGUGAUUUAAAAAGAGGGAAAAAGGCUUUCCACAUCUUUUUCACAGGACAGGUGUAAAGAGAAAGGUGAGGCAUUAAAAAAGUGAAUAACCCUGUUAUCGAUUUUGCUAAGAUGUUGGUUCUAGACCUUCACUGAGUUUGUCCAAUGAAGAGAUUCUCAAUAAAAUUAACUUUUUGCAUAUGCAUGAGCCAAUUAAGAUUUAUAACAAUACAAAAACAAUAAAUUCAGUAGGACUAGAAAUACAUUUGCAGCAAAAUAUAAGAGCAGCCAUUGCAGCGUCCUCUUGCUUUCUGCCACCGUGAUGGGUAAUGAUAACACCAUUGCGCUUUUGAAUGAAACAUUAUAUUGAAAUGGUCACAGACUCCCACCUGGAUCAGCUGACAAGUCAAAAGUAACACGCUCUUUGUAUCCAAAACGUCAUGAAAGCACUUUGAGUUUGAGCUCUCACCUCUGAGCUAAGCAUACAGGUGCAGCUAAACAAACUGACGCCUGGGGAAAAUCAAAUCAUGAAAGCCAUCAGAGCAAGAGUUUGGAGAACGUGAAUUGAACUAAAUCAAAGAAGUUCACUACAGCAAUUGCUAAUUGAGUAAACUACAGCCAAGUCAACCCUGUGGGAAAGUCACAUCUGAUUCCUGAUUGAAGACAGUAGAAAGAUCAGCGUUUUAUUGUUGAUAUGGAGUUUAAAACUGUUUAAAAUGCAAAAUAAUGGAAAUUAGUCAACAUAAACUAUUGAAGCUUAGCUGUUUAUAAUGAUUUAAAAAAUCAAGAGUAUGCAGGUCUUAAAUUAUCUUUUUGAACAAAAUAAUCUAUAAAAAAUGUGAUACAAUUUUACAUAAGUGAAAUGUACUGCAGUAAAACACCAAAGAUUGUACCUAUCAAAAUGUAAGAGUAAAGAAAUCACAUCCUCAAAAUUAUUUAGAAUAGCUCUCGAGAGUACAGAUCCAGAUAAUUUUGCAGUGAUGAUUUCAUUUGUUUGACCCACAUAUAGAGUCUAUCUGUGAGGAGAAAGUGGGACGGAGUGAGAGUGUCUGUUGUGACUGGAGUCAGACUCUGCUCACCCUGAGGAAAGCAUGGCCUUAACUGGCCAAACAUGAGCAGUACAACCAACAUCACCACUAAGCUUCUUCUCCGUUUAUUCAGACACUGACAGAACAGAGUGAAAGCCUGCAGAUUACACAAACAAAACAAAACAAAACAAAAUUUUUUAUGCUUUAAUUUUGAUGCAGUGUAAAAGAAUUAGGGGUAUAAAUGUAAGGGAUAUGUUGCUUUUUAAGGCGCAAAAUGCAAUCAAGUCACCGAGACAUCAUCCAGACAUGAAUAAUCUGCUGCUGUAUCUGACAUGAUGAAUUCCCACAACACAUACAACACAGCUCACACACAGCAAGUGGUGUUGGGACAGCAUUGUGUGUGUGACAUGAGGGGAUCGGUAUCACUGUGUCACAGCUGAUCCCUGGUGUACUGUCAGACAGCAGAGACCCUCAGGGCCCUCCUUUACUGCUGAGAAUACAACAGUCCAUACGGCAUCUGUCGUACACACUGAAACACAAGCAUGCGUGUUUGUGUGCCUGGGGAGCACGGGUGGGUGCAGGUCCCUGAGGGCAAGACUAGUGUGUGUUUGUGCAUGAAUGUCUGUGUGUAUGUGUGUUUUAGGGUUUGGAUUUUACUUAACAUGCUUGAUCCCACUAGAUAAACGUUUGUCUUAAUCUUCCCAAACCUUUCAUUACUUUAAUUAUUCUGAAAGAGGGAAAGAAGCAGCAGACUGUACUUCAAUUUAAAAAUGUUUACUCUGUUAUGUUUUACACACAUAUGCCACAAAACACACACACACACACAAACAGGACCCUGUAAACAUGCAUGAACUGGACUAAAAUUACAUGACCAGUGAGAGGCUUUAAAAAUACAAUCCAGAGUUCUGUUCCAGUUUAUUGAGAUCUUGAUAUGUUUUUCCAGCAAACUCUGCAUCUACUUGGAUGCUAGAAUGUUGACCUUUGACCUCUAAUGACAGAAGUGUUGGCUUGCAUAGCUGGUCAGGUAGUGUUGGUAAGAUAACGUCCAAGAUUGGCAAAGUGAUUUAUGGUCACACACACAAUUCAUUCAGCUUUUACUUGGCAAACUGUUCAUUAUGACUUUAUAAUGAGUAUAUAUAUAUAUAUUUAUUAUGAUACUUUAGUAUACAGCCUAUGACGGUAACUGUAUUAUUCAGUGUGAUGGCUUUGUGACACUAAAUCUGAAAAUACCAAUCAAUGUUUCUCAAUUUAAGAACAAAAUUAAACAAAAACUUCAAAACCAUAUGAACAGAAGAGCCAAAAUUUCUUUCAGUGUUACACUAUUUUUUUUUAUACCAUCACAGUGACACAGUUGAGCAUGAAUGAGUGAUCAAGACUUUGGUUUAUUUACAAUUGUAUCAGGUCAUAAAUUAAGACAUUAUGUCUUUAAUUUCUUGGGAUUUAACCAUCAGUUUGCCUCGAAACAAAUCGUAUUGGACCAAAUAAUUCCAGACAUUUUAGUAAAUCGUUUCUUAGGCCAUCAAAGACUGAAUCAGAUCGGGCAAUGUUUGGAAGAAGGUGAUUCCCUCAAGCAUUAGCUUCACCAAAAGGGUCUGAUGCUUUACAAAGACAAUUGCAUGAAGCUGCGUGCGACACUAGAAAGUCAUGUUUGCAGUGUAUUACAACAUCACUGUUAGUAUGUGACCUUGAAGCUCCUGUGAGUGACUUUUGGUUUGUGUUAAAUGUGGCGCCCCCUGUGGACAAAGUAGUCUUUGUUUAUCUUCUUGACAUUUUUAAGGAUUUUCUUCCAACCAAAAUCUCAUCCUGCUGACUUAAAACAGUCAAAACUAUCAUUAAUGAAUAUCUGGCUAUUACCUAACCCCUUGCACUGGUUUCAGACAUUAUGACAUUCAGCAUAUAAAUAGGCAAACUUCUCACUGAUGGUCUUGACUCUUGAAAAUUAUGAAAAGGCUUUAAUUUGAAAUUCAGACGAUUUCAUAAACUUCCAAAAAUCUUCCCACUGGAGCUUUAAAAUGAAUUAGUGAAUGCACUUCUUGUGGUGACAAGAUGAUAACAGUAAGAUGAAUUAAUUGGUGGUUUGAGUAAUUUAUAAAAGUCAAGUUGUGAAAGUUAUAUGGUUAAUUUAAUAAAUCAGCCCUCAAACUCAAAAAACAAUAACCGGAGAGGCUGCCCACUUAUCUGUUGAACCUCAGUGUCUUUAUCAGGGCAACUGAGAAAAGUGCUGAUCUAACACUUCUACUGCUGCUGUGAAGAGAAACCUCUUGAGAAGGCACCAAGGAGCUGGGUCCACUCCCUGGGCAGACACACACACAGACUGCUCCAGAUUAACUGGUUUUCUUAAUGUCUCCUCUCUGGCGAGGUUUCUUUCAGACAGCUGAGAGGCAAACAGGCCCUGCUGAAAGACUCACUCCCCAUUAGCGGAGGUAAAUGCCUCUUCUGUGAGCAACCGGUUAAAGCAGGGAGGGAUAAAGGGCCUCUCCACACACUUCUUCAGCCAGAUUAGAGAGGUGACUCUUGUCUCGAGGAUGUUAAUGUUUAUACGCACACACCGAGGAGCACUCUACCGGAGAAACCUCAGCAGUGUCACUAUUACGUUUGUCAUCAGGAAUUCAAGAGGCUCAGGUCAUCAGCACUGAAACAGCACACUACAAGAGAUUUUAUCCCACAUUCAACCAUGUUUUAUAAAAUGUUACUCCUACACCAUGAAGAUCAUAACAUACUAAAACACUUGAUUAUCAUACAAAGCAAAUCUGCAACUGAAAUAUUGACACAGUCCAAAAAUGCUAUGAUUACUGCUUAAAGCUCAUGUGAGUGACUUUUGGUUUGUGUCAACGUUGGCACCCUGUUCACUCAUGUUGCUUUUGGGUUCAUGUACUAUCCAUCCAUUCAAUUACUCCAUUCACUCUAGUAAACGAAAAACGAAAAAACAAGUCAAUAUUUUGUUUAUUUGUUUUUCUGUAUAACCAAAAAAUUUAAAAUUAGUGUUUAUUAGUGUUAGAAUAUUUUGCAUUUGAAUAUUAUGAAAAGGUACAGUUUUGAAUUUCCCUCUGUUUCAGUGAUGUCAAAAAACUUCACACAGGAGCUUUAAGUAUCAAAUAAUGCUCAACUCAUAUAUAAAUCUACCAAAAUAUACUUUAAAACUACAGUACAAAUUAUUCAAAUGUUCAGUUUCCUCUCAAAAAGUUAAAAUCUUUCUUACUUUUUAGAAAAGGGCUGGGAUAAAACGACACCUAAUCACAGGCUCAUUGCUUCCUUGCCAGCUAGCAGCUCCUGAUUGCAUUUCAGCUGAGAAGUAAAUACUACAUGCUCAGUUACCAGGUGAAAUCAAGCAGGCAGAUGUGUCUGCAGCCUCAGUAGACACUCGCUGGACCCUGCUUCUGUCUACCUGUGCCACAGAGUUUCUAGCCAAGUCAGCUGCUGCCGAUCCAUGUUGCUGAGUAGGUAUUUGUGUGUAUGUGUAUGUGUGUGUGUGUGUGUGUGCUAUAGUUGGUGAGUGAGGGAGACUGAGAGGGAAAACUGGGAACAAAGUUGGGAUAAUCUGCUGUUUUUGUAGAUACCAAGAAUAUGCGUCUAGAGGAAACACAUUUAUGAGAUCUGUCAAGCUGAAUAAAAAAUGAAAUAAAUAAAUUCUUUAUUUUUUAAACUUUAAAAGUCAAACUGUUAAUAAAAUCGGCUCUUUCAGGCCUGUUUGUUACGGAGAGUCUGCAAAGAAAGAGCGCUGCAGAGGUGUGUUUGCCAGAGAAGGGCUGAGAAUACAAUAGCCCUCCUUCCAAGGGUCUGUAACCAUAGACUCUAAUAAAGUCACUGCCUGCAAAUAAAGAGCCACUGUGCAGCUCGCAUUACAACAACAAGGACGGCAUUAUACAGCUCGGCUCUGUUUUGAAGUACACAGCCAAAUGUUGGACAGGGACAAACAGAGCACAAUGUGUAUUAUAUAAUAUUGAUGAUCAAGAAGUGUAUCAUAGUAUUCUUGUGUGUGUAAAAGCCGAUUAUUACCCUCCAUUAUUGAUGCUUCUGUUAGGUGUAGAUUUUUUUUUUAUGGAGCGUUUUGUGACGCUUCUCAUUCCUCUUUAUGACGAUCAGUUUUGUUUGAUUUAUUCUGUAAUAGCUGACUUACUGACCAUUCAAAAUGUUGCUUUAAGAUCUGUUUUAAGGAGCAUAAACAUUUCACUGACUGAUUGGACAGUCCAGUUGAAAGAUAACUUAUCUUUACAGGUAGUCAACAAUACUUUGUAUAAUUAAUACUGUUAUUUAUCAUGAAAGUAAAAUUGAAAAGUACACAUUUUUAAAUGUUUACUGUUCAAAGUAAUAAAUAGACUUUGUAAAGACAUUUCUAACAGUUGCUCAUGUGGCCAUCAAACUUCAAUUGUUCUUGUUUAAAAAAUAAUUUUAAAAAUUGGUGUUUAUACUAAAAAUUUUUACUUUAACUUUGUCCAAACGUAUCUGAAGUGGAAUUGAUAUUGGAAAAUCGGGGAACAAAAAUGUCAUCGAUACAUGCUUUAAAGCUUAAAUGUCAGGUGUGAUGUAGAAUUGAGUCCAAAAAAGGGUAAAUAAUGUGUUUAAAUGUCAGAAGUAAAAGUUAAAAGUUAUCAGAAUUAUUUCUGAAAAGCUGUUUGUACUUCAUUAAUUCUUAUUUCAUGAGCUUCAAAACUAAAAAGUUGACAGUGGUGAGUGUGAAUGGAUCUCCCUUCAAUGAUAACUUCCCCCUAUAAACACUAGUCUGCGUUGUGUCAAUAGCUGCAUCCAGCUGAAGUUUGAAGAAGCCUCUCUUUACAAAUCUCAGGCCUCCCUGUUGCUAAAGGUUAUGACCCUGCCUCUUAUUUUUCCUGGGGCUGUUGGGUUAAUGAAGUAACAACAAACUGGGCCUGCGGCUAAUUUGGAGUGGCACUUCCUGGCCCCUCUUGUCUCCACGAAGACGUAUUUCAUUUUCUCUUAUCUCUUCCUCGGUCAUGUGGCUUUCCGCAUGGACGCCCAUGUCUCCCUCGGUUGCAGGACUAAUGGAAACUUCGUUAAUGUCAUUAAUCUGCAGACCGGGACAUGAACCAAACACGUUUAACCUUUCUAGGCAGGCCUUUGCCACCGGCGCUGCAGCGACUGUCCACACUCUCUGUGCUUGUGACUCAGUGUGACGUGGUAGGAUAUGAGAGUCUCGAGUCCUCACUUUGUGAAGUCGCCUUAUAGGAAAAUAAACUUUCCAAAGAGCCUUUUUCAGCAAAGUUUCAGCAGAAAACAUCAUUAAAAAUACUCCCUGAGAGGAUCCUGCAUCUGUCCGUCUAUACUGAAUAUCUAUCUCUUCUAAUCAGCCUCACAUGAGUGAACGACUGUUUAUAGAUGACAGCACUCUCACUUCCACCAUGCACAUUUAAACAAUGGUAACGUCAAAAGACUGCUUCAUGACUGAUCAGGUGGCUGUGAUUCCCGCUUCAUUCAAAGCCUUAUUCACACAUUCCAGCAGCUCCAUGAAUGGACACUGUCAGCCCCACAUGGCAUAUACUUUCAUUCAUAAAGGGGAAAACAGGAGAGGGGGAGCGUGCUCGGAAAAAAAGGACUCUCUCUGGUAGGAUGGGUAACCCAGGGGACAUUUUCUUUUGUGUGGCGCUCAGCUUAUGGGGCCAAAUGCCAGCAGGCUUACCUCCACACUGUCUGUCUCUGUGUGUCCCCCUUUCCUUUGCACACAGUAAUUAGGAGGAUCUUAAUGGAGAGGGGGUUUAUUAGUGUCUGAGGAAGGCUUUAAAAGUCACUUUAAUUAAGGGGGAUUCUGCAGACAGCUUGUGUGGCGAUGUCACCCGUUUUAUAAAAUCCUUGUUUGGGCACAACAGGAAAAUAGAAGUGGGGCUUUAAGAGGAAGGGGGAAAAAGGCUUUGCAGAGGAAGGCCGUCUAGACCUGCGGUCAGACACAGAAUAGAUACUCUGACCCUGGCUGAGCAUUAAGAUGACGGUCAUUAUCUACCAAGAAAUUCCACAUGUGUGCACAUGGGGGGCAAACAACCCCCCUUUUAGGAAGAAAAAUUGGCCAAAGCAACCUCCCGCCCCGCUGCAACUGUUUCAUGCAAAAGAUAACCUCUCUGCUAAAAUUUUGGGGGGGAUUAAUUUAUUCUUAGCAUAUCCUGUGGCCAUUCAUGCAGGAUAUAAAAUCCUAGAUUAUUUCCUGCUUGGUUAACCCGCAUCCGGCCAGUCCCUCUCACAAAGCCAUUCUAAUGUUGCCAUUAGUUAUGCUCCUCUGGUGGCCAAAAGAUUGAUCCCACAGACUUGGAAUCCAAUAAAUGUGUACAUGAAUGGCAGAAGGAGAUAACACGCUUCCCACAGAUAGUCUGCCGGCUGAUCAGGUGCUGAGACAUGAUUGGAAAAAGAUGAUUAACGAUAUGAUGUUUGAAAAUUAUCUCCGCUUUAUUCAACAUUUGAUUCUCAUAGCUUCACUUCUGUUAGACUCUAUUCCGAGACAGAUAAAUUGCCCCUCAGUAAAACACGGAAAAAGGAGCGACUAUCCCAGAGACAAAAAGACAAUAUGCACUCACUCAUGAAAAAGCCACUGUUGUCACACACAUCAUGGUGCUAUAAAACUAAAGUCUUCCACAAUAACUGCAGCUGCUGAGGGAGCCUACAGAGGGGAUCUGAUAAUGGGCCCAAGGGGAAACGACAACGCGCUCAGGGACCAGGGAUUGUCAGGAAGACAGAUAAGAAGACACAGGAACAGGUUAUCAGCUAGUUUAUGAGGUGUCACUCUGCUCAAACACUCACCUGUUCUGCAGGAAAAUCACAGAAUCACAAACAGGCGGCCCAUUAAUUCACACAGGGAUCUCACUGUUAUGAGUCCUAGAAAUGCAGACUGAUUUUACACCUUUGUUUACCUUUUAUGAGGUCUCUGUUGUGAUUUAUUUGAAUAGAAUUCACCUCCUGUUGUAUCAAAUCAUUAAAUCAUCUUAGAAAUAAAAAUUUAAAGUGACUCUAAAAGUUAUUGAGAAUCAAUUUUUACUGACUCACUUAAAGGUCUAGUAAAAUGACUUCUUACCUUUAACUACUGCAUUUUAAAGUGAUUUAAACAGCUUCACUUUCUCACGUAUGUUAAAUAUGUUUAUAUGUUUGCAUUAUUAAUCAGUUUUACUUUAAUUUGCCUUUUUUACUGACAGUCUUUGUUUUAGUGUCUGUGUUUUUUUAUCUCUGAUUAUUUUUCCAAUUUUUUUCCCCAUGUUUUUCCUUUUUCAAACUUUUGCUCAGGUCCUUAUCUUGUUAAUUUUCCAAAAAAAUCUAAUAAAAUUUGAUGCCAAUAGAAAAUUUUGCUUCAAACCAACAUGACAUUCGAGGUUGAGCCUGUGGCUGAACUAAGAAAAGACUCUCUGUGUUGGAAAUUGAUGCUUUGCUUUAAAACAAGUGAAAAAAGCUCAAAAUAGGAUCUUAUGGCCCAUAAAUAGAAUGUUUCAACACUCGGAAUAUUUUUUAAUUUUUCAGAAAUAUAAAUGAAGACAUGAUAAGGCCUGGAUUUUGACUUGUAGAUGUAUUGCUGAACUCUGGCUUGAUUAGAAAGUGGUUAAAGUUUUUCCUUCAUUGGCCCCAAAGUUUCAUAUGUGACUGAAUGUAUCAAAAUGCAAUUCUUACAUUGUCAUGCAUAUAAAUGUGUUAUUUUUCAGGGUUUUUUCAUGUGGGGAAACAUGAAAAUUGAUGUUUUGAGAGAGCAGUGUGAGUAAGAUAAAUGAAAACUGACCUGGGAGAACAUGGAGGUGAUGUGCCUCGUGGCGUCACCGCACAGCUGAUCUCCAAACACAUCCUGCUGUGUACGUGAAGGACAGUGGACACCCAGGGCCAUUCUGAAAAAUUAAAGUCAAGACACAAAGCUUUUAUUUACGAUCAAUAUCAAGCAACAGUGCUGUUCUUGUUUACAGCAUUUAAUAAAGCAGCUUUGAGUUGAUUAGGUUGACUGUUUUAUUCACUGGUACAAAGCAGACAGAGACGUGCGUGUUUCAUUUUCUAACCCAAAAUUGCAUUUCCUCACAAUGAAAGUAUUCUGAACAAUAAGAGACAAGCCAGUUUUCUAUUUUCCGGUGACUUCUUUCGCACAUGAUAACAAUCACCACAUCAUGAAUAAUUAAAGAGUGUUUUUAUCAUCUUUAAGCAGCUUGUCCAGAGGACUAAGUUACAAGCGACAUAGUAGAGUGAAUAUUUCUGCACCUAUAACUGUCUCUUAUAGUCUAUUAUAGCUUACAUAAACACCGAAAUACAUCGUUACAUGGUGUGUCUCAAUGUGCAGACCACUAAGUCACUAAAUGAGAAGAAAUCCUUACAGAAACCAAACUGUAGACUGCUCGACUGAACGAGUACAUCCUCCAGAUUUUUGAUCAUUAUUCUUUCACCCACAUAAAUGAUCAAAACAAAUGACAAUCUCUGAGCAAAGAAGAGACGGAGCCCACAAAAGGGAGUCUGACAGCCAUUUCCACAACAGAUGUUUUUACAGAGGGGUGUCUUCUCUCCGCUGAGCAGUCUCACACAUGAGAGACCCCCAAAAGCUUCAGAGAAACGUCCAGAAAUCCAACAUGUAAAUUUGUAACUGCCACGUCUCUGACUAGCAGGCCCCACACCAGUUUUAUUUCUUUCUUUAGGGGGUGAAAAAAAAAUGCAUGAAAGGCAUGUCCAAAUAAACAUAUCAGCAUGGAUGAUUCAGAAAGGCGGAGGGACAGAAUUAGAACUUCAAUAUGAGAAAAAGACAACAGACAACAUCGUUAUGUGUUAUAAUGAAAAGAUAAGUCCCUAUUGAUCCGUUUUGUGGGCAAAGGCUGCACUAUUGACAGGAAGACGGAAUAUGUCGGAGGGGCAAUAUUUCAUACAUUUGGCCUGUUCACUCCAUCACUGUGAGAGGCUGUUUUUUCUGGGCUGUAUAUAAUAACACGUGUGCUCUUUAUUUCCCUCAGAUCAAUGGUAAUGUGAGGGGGGCCACACAAGAUGGAUGCCAGGGGCAGGUUAACCUAUCGACUGCUGGACAGAGGCACACAGACAGGGACAAGGGACAUAGAAACACUGACUGCACAUAAGCCGGAUAUUUCAACAGCUCUGAUUUGUUAUACUGGACUUUUUCUCUGUUUCUUAUUUGAUGCAGGGAUUUAUUGUCCCUGAAUUCGUCUCAUUUUCUUCUCUGUACAAAAUCUGUACCUGUGUGUCUGUUUAGGGAAGUUUAACAGAGGGGAAACAGGUCAGUAGACUCCAUGACGACUGAAGUCCACAAAAGAGGCAGACGGAAGGGCCGGCUACAGCCCACACAGGUGGCCCGGAUCUGGACCAGGUCAGCCGCGCCCUCGAACAACCAGCCAGCUAAUCUCACGCUAACACUCCAAACCUCUUUGAGUCACUAACCUUCACUUUUUGAUAAAGCAAAG